CCUGACAGUAAUGUAACACCGUGUGUCAACUGUAUGCCGAUAAAAAUAAAACAAUAGGAGCAACAACAAUACAAAAGAUGUGCUCAUGUUAUCUCUUGCUUUUGCAUGAAAUUUCACAACUUCUAGAAGGUCUGAAGACUUCUGGACAUGUGGGAACUUCUCAUUCUUCUAGAUUCUCAGAAUGGUGCCACUGGCAGAUGGACAUGCAUUGGAAAAUACCUCAGCAAUACUUCCUUAAAUCUCCCCAUCAGUGUUGGUCCAAUGUCACGCUCUAAUUUUUUGUGCCACUGCAGAUACCAGCGUCCUAAUUUGGAACGUGGGAGGAUCGUGAGUGUUGAAUGCCACCAUCAGAAGGCUGGGAGGGGAAGUCUGAGGCGUGCCGGGCAGGCUCUGCUUUACUACCCUGGAGAAUAGUAGAAAGCGUGUGAAAUGAAGGCCCCGAUGAACCAAGAGCUCCUCAGAAUGUGACUGUUUCAUUA